GUCGUCGUGGCCGAGUGGUUAAGGCGACAGACUAGCAUAUGUUGGGCUCUGCCCGCACAGGUUCGAAUCCUGUCGGCGACG
rfam:Ciona savignyi cont_23069, whole genome shotgun sequence.